rnacentral:rRNA from 1 species
GACGAACGCUGGCGGCGUGGAUUAGGCAUGCAAGUCGAACGGUAGGAUACCUUCGGGUAUCUGAGAGUGGCGAACGGGUGAGUAACACGUAGGUGAUCUACCCUCAAGAUUGGGACAACCCAGGGAAACUUGGGCUAAUACCGGAUGAAAGCAGCAGUGAUGUUGUUUGAAAGGUGGCGUAAGCUGCCGUUUGGGGAUGAGCCUGCGCUCUAUUAGUUAGUUGGCGGGGUAAAGGCCCACCAAGGCGAUGAUAGAUAGGCGGCCUUAACGGGUGGUCGCCCACACUGGGAUUGAGAUACGGCCCAGACUCCUACGGGAGGCAGCAGUCGAGAAUAGUCUACAAUGGCCGAAAGGCUGAUAGUGCGACGCCGCGUGAACGAGAAGCCCUUCGGGGUGUAAAGUUCUUUUAUAUGUGAGCAGUGCUUUCUAUGUGAACAGCAUGGGGAGAGAGAUAUUAGCAUAUGAAUAAGCAACGGCUAACUCCGUGCCAGC